ACCGCCAGGUGAAACAUUUGAUGGGGCAGAAGAGGUGAAACUUCCAACUAAGAUUUCUGUAAACAACUCUGCACCUGAUCAAGUGCCCUUGCUGACUUCAAAAGAUGCUGAGACCACUAGUCAUGAAUCUUUAAAACAGGGGCAAGUAAGGCAAAUUUGAAAUUUGUUUAUAUUAUCUGGGCUACCUUGCUUGAUACUAAUUGUAGUGUUCCGGUUUGCAUAUUUCAUUGUUUGGCAUCAAUUUAAUUACUAAUCUGUACCUGUAAUUACAUCUCCUGUUGAAUUUUACUUUAAGCUGCAUGAUUGUUCUUUAUUGAUGGGUAACCUCAAUUUGUGUUGUGACAUUUAAUUUUUAACUAAACACCAUUCACAUUUUUUAAACUUGUUAGUUCAAAUUAUUCUAUCAAUAACAAUUUGGACUUAUUUUGGAACUUCAAACUAAGAUUCCUGUAAACAACUUUGCACCUGAUCAAGUGCCCUUGCUGACUUCAAAAGAUGCUGAUACCACUAGUCAUGAAUCUUUAAAACAGGGGAAAGUAAGGGAAAUUUGAAAUUUGUUUAUAAUAUCUGGGCUACCUUGCUUGAUACUAAUUGUAGUGUUCAGGUUUGCAUAUUUUAUUGUUUGGCAUCAAUUUAAUUACUAAUCUGUAC
rnacentral:lncRNA from 1 species